GACGAACGCUGGCGGCGUGCUUAACACAUGCAAGUCGAACGGAAAGGCCCUGCUUUUGUGGGGUGCUCGAGUGGCGAACGGGUGAGUAACACGUGAGUAACCUGCCCUUGACUUUGGGAUAACUUCAGGAAACUGGGGCUAAUACCGGAUAGGAGCUCCUGCUGCAUGGUGGGGGUUGGAAAGUUUCGGCGGUUGGGGAUGGACUCGCGGCUUAUCAGCUUGUUGGUGGGGUAGUGGCUUACCAAGGCUUUGACGGGUAGCCGGCCUGAGAGGGUGACCGGCCACAUUGGGACUGAGAUACGGCCCAGACUCCUACGGGAGGCAGCAGUGGGGAAUAUUGCACAAUGGGCGGAAGCCUGAUGCAGCAACGCCGCGUGCGGGAUGACGGCCUUCGGGUUGUAAACCGCUUUCGCCUGUGACGAAGCGUGAGUGACGGUAAUGGGUAAAGAAGCACCGGCUAACUACGUGCCAGCAGCCGCGGUGAUACGUAGGGUGCGAGCGUUGUCCGGAUUUAUUGGGCGUAAAGGGCUCGUAGGUGGUUGAUCGCGUCGGAA
rnacentral:rRNA from 1 species